UACGUAGGGUGCGAGCGUUGUCCGGAAUUAUUGGGCGUAAAGGGCUCGUAGGCGGUUUGUCGCGUCGGGAGUGAAAACACCGGGCUUAACUCGGUGCUUGCUUUCGAUACGGGCAGACUAGAGGUAUGCAGGGGAGAACGGAAUUCCUGGUGUAGCGGUGAAAUGCGCAGAUAUCAGGAGGAACACCGGUGGCGAAGGCGGUUCUCUGGGCAUGACCUGACGCUGAGGAGCGAAAGUGUGGGGAGCGAAUGGG
rnacentral:rRNA from 1 species